rnacentral:rRNA from 1 species
UACGGGGGGAGCAAGCGUUGUUCGGAUUUACUGGGCGUAAAGGGUUUGUAGGUGGCCACUUAAGUCAGACGUGAAAUCCCUCAGCUUAACUGGGGAACUGCGUCUGAUACUGAGUGGCUUGAGUGCAGGAGAGGAACGCGGAAUUCCAGGUGUAGCGGUGAAAUGCGUAGAUAUCUGGAGGAACACCGGUGGCGAAGGCGGCGUUCUGGACUGUAACUGACACUGAAAAACGAAAGCCAGGGGAGCAAACGGG